AUGGCCGACCCAAAAGAGCGCGACCACGCCUCCCCUUGUCUCCCGCCGGUGGCCGCACUCCUUCCCGGCUCCGGCUUCCAGUGCACGCCGCUCCGGGCCGCUCUGGCGAAGAGCGCGCCGAUGAGGGCGUUGUGCGGGCGGCAGGGAGAGUGCUCGGGAGGUUGUCGCAGGGCAGUUCGCCUGAGGAUUGGGGGUUGCGUCAUUGUGAGAGAAGGGAGGAGGCGGCGCUGUUUUCCUUGA
rnacentral:rRNA from 1 species